rfam:Plasmodium ovale wallikeri genome assembly, contig: contig181
UUUUAAUGAUGACAUUUAUCACUUGGUCUGUGUUUCUGAAAUCACAUUCUGAUGAUACCAACAUUAAAGCUGAAAAA